rnacentral:rRNA from 1 species
CCCUUAGAUGUUCUGGGCCGCACGCGCGCUACACUGAUGCAUUCAACGAGUCUAAAACCUGCUCUGAUAGGGGUGGGUAAUCUUUUGAAUGUGCAUCGUGAUUGGGAUAGAUGAUUGCAAUUUUUCAUCUUCAACGAGGAAUGCCUAGUAAACGAAAGUCAUCAGCUUGCAUUGAUUACGUCCCUGCCCUUUGUACACACCGCCCGUCGCUCCUACCGAUUGAAUGAUCCGAUGAAUAUCAUGGAUUGAGGAUUAUAGCAGGUUCGCCUGUCUUGAUCUUCGAGAAGUGAAGUAAAUCUUAUCAUUUAGAGGAAGGAGAAGUCGUAACA